AAUACUCAACAGAAACUGCUCUGCACUGGCCCCACAUUAGGGGGUUCCUAUCUACGGUUUCUAAAUGUGAGCCCCUUGACACCUGCUGUGGCAGACACAACCAUCCCCAUGGAGGCGCUGAGAACAAUGAAGCACAGACAGGCCAGGGUCACCCAAAGCCGUGAUGACAGCCCGCUUUUCUCUGGUGGUUCUACUCAACCGCUCCACUGAGGUGAUGGGAGAGGUGAGGGGCCCAGGAGGAAGGUGGAGCUCAAAGGGAGGCUGGAACCCAUGGCCAUGACCUACCCCAAGGAGGUGGCCCAGGGCCACAGAGAAGCCUAUGGAGAGAGCAGGGGUGCCCGGGUUCUCUCCGCGGCGCUCAUCGGUGGAGGCGAAGAUGCAGAGCACCAGCUGCAGUGUCAGGAAGAGCUCCACAGUCACCGCCUGGCCAGCCGUCGUGCUGUUGCUGAGCUGGGGACAGAGAAGAGGCGGAUGAGGAAGGGCCACUUGUGCAGAGAAGGGGGCGCCCACAGAGAUUGUGCGGGACUCAUCAAAGACAUCAGGACUCUUGUCCAGUGGCUCAAGGAUGGAAAAGGCCGGGAACUACCGGAAACAAGCACAAAAGAGGCACUCACUGUCCUGGCUUAGGAUGGGGGUACAGAGUGAGUGUUGAUCUGUUGGGGGCACAGGUCAUUCCUCCACAUUCAUGGGCCUUGGAUUCACAGGGCCCACACAGACUUGAGAGGGGAAGUGGGUGGGACAUGGGGGAAGGGACUGUGGCACCACCCUCAGCUCCCAAAGGGCCCACGGGGCCCAGUUAGCGCCUGUAUCAUGUAAUCAGCAGCCAGCUUAUGGGCUCCGGGGACCUCCUCAAGGUUUGGAGAAGUGAGUAUGCCCAUUGCUGCUUGCAGGGCUGUGGUGUGUCCGUGCCUGGCCUGUAAGGAGCACCUGCCACGGGACCUGCAAACCCUCAAAGCAGAAGAAAUGCUGGGCCCCUCUUCUCUCUUGAGAACCCUGUGAUGAUCACUCCAAGGCUCCCCGCAGCUUGGAAAGCAUGUCUGCUCGGGACACCAACCCCUGCUGAGGUAUAGCCCUGUCUUCACUGUAAUGUAGGCGUUGAGUCCAACAGAAACCUGGAUGAGGCUCUUCCUGCACGACGGUCAGGGUGGAAGAAGCCAGCAGUCUGUCUGCAUCCUGCUUUGCUCUGGUAUCAUUGCUCCUUUCAUCCUGACCCUCCUAUGGUGGCUGUGUUCCUGGCUCCAGCCUCUCUCUCUGCCUCUGUCUCCAUCUCUCUCCCUACAUCACCCAGAGCCCAUCCCUCCCAUCUCAUCCUUUACAAGGGAUUCCCCAGGACCUGCCCCUUGUGGAUGGCAAAGUUGUGGCUACUCACAGCAUUGACAGCCAGGUCCCCGCGGAUGUCUGCUGGCGUGAUCUCAUGGAGCAGAGCGGCUCCGGCCACAGCCCCCAGCAGCUGGGCAGCCACGUAGAAGGCGGCUCGGAGAACGGAGACGUGGCAGCCCACCAGGCAGGCCACAGUCACGGCAGGGUUGAUGUGGGCCCCGCUUAUGUGGCCCAGAGCCUGUACCAGGGUGCCAAUACCCAAGCCAAACGCCAUGGCAAUCUGUAGCACAGAGGGCAGGGCCUGUGGCCAGUUGAGGGCAGAGCCGAGGCCAAAGAAGACGAAGAGGAGUGUGGCCAGGAACUCUGCGAACACAGCCCUGGAGAAGGCUAUGGAGCGGAGCUCCCACAUGCUGCAGAGCCCUGCGGGGCUGGCCCAGCUGUCUCAGGGCCAGGAUGCUCCGGGCACUCGCUCUCGCACUCUAUCGCUCUCUUUCUCAAGGCCUCUGGGGAGGCUGGGUUGUGGGCAUUUAUAGGGUCCUUCCAUCCCGGAUCUGGGCACGUGGCGGGGAGGUGGAGUCGUUGAGGCCAAUACCUCUUCUCCUCCAUGGCGGCCUCUGCCCCCAUGCCCCAUCCCAGCCCACCCACAGGCCUAUCACCCUAUCUUGGCCUUCACAGCUGACUAAUGUUCCCCAUUUAAUGAGCUCCAGAUAAGGACUGACGUCCCUGGUUUUCCGUGUUUGUUCCCUUGGUUACCCCAGGGCUGCUGCCCCAGGGCGUCUCCCAGCCCCCACAGGGUCUUGUGAAUGGGAACGUCUGGUGGGGAUUGUGCCCGGCCCCCAUCUCUCUGACUCAAACUGUUGACCAAGGCAGGGGCAACACCUCACACAAAACUAAGAGAGAACAUGAGUGCUGCUCCUUCUGGUAACUGGGAAGUUCUUCUGUCAGACCUCCAAUUAUUCCUGCUUCACAGGGAUGGAAAACAACUGGUUGGCUUGUGACAAAUUUCCAAGGCAUAAAGGUUUGUGUCUUCUGUGCUUGCAUUCUUGCAGCUAAUCACCCAUAAAUCAUUAAGCUUCACCUUCUCCUGGGAGCCCCAGCCAAACAGCAGCUCCUAGAGCCUGGGGGCACUGGGACCCUGGCCCUUGGUGAUGGAGUCAACCUGGGGCGGCUGAGGAAGCUGAGGGUGUCCAUUCUGGCAUCAGCCUGUUCCAUCUAUGUGACUUAACCUUUCUUGUCUUUCUCUGUAAAAUGGGGAGAAUAAAACUGACCUAGUGGAU
rnacentral:lncRNA from 1 species